rfam:Salmo salar isolate Sally breed double haploid chromosome ssa06, whole genome shotgun sequence.
UUCCCUGUGGCUCAGUUGGUAGAGCAUGGUGUUUGCAACGCCAGCAUGGUUUGUGCAACGCCAGGGUUGUGGGUUCGAUUCCCACAGGGGAC